rfam:Rhizophagus irregularis DAOM 197198w jcf7180003195098, whole genome shotgun sequence.
AUCCUCUCUUGCCUAUUGGCUAAGAUCAAGUGUAGUAUCUGUUAUUUUCAGUAUAAUAUCUGAAACUUUACACACAGGAGUUCCUUGGCUUGCCAAUACUCCCUCAUGAGUGUCCCUAUUAUUGCACUACCUCUAGGCGACGCUCACAUUUU